rnacentral:rRNA from 1 species
CAAGGGAAGUUGAAAGAACUUUGAAGAGAGAGUUCAAGAGGUUGUGAAACUGUCAUGAGCCUAAACGGGUAGAACCUUGAAGAUCGAAAAGAGAGGAUUCUGGCUGUCCCUUACUCGUGGCGGCAGAGGAAUGAAGGGCGAAGGUGCCUGUUCUUCCGACCCACCGCUCACUGGUUGGGAGGGCCCCCAGGACGACGUUGUCGCUGCCGAUCCGGUGGCGGUUUCGUCGGUUUUGGGUGGUGGACCGUCCCAGUUGACGUGGGAGGGGGCCUCUGCUGUGAGAUACGACACGAGUGUCCUUCUGUACACGCUUCGUCUUUGGGACGUGUUUUGGGAAGCUUAUCACACUCUUAGUAGAUCACUGCAACCAGUUCGGGGGAGGCAAUUUCCCCAUCUCGGGGAAAGGGCCCGRUCGGAUCGGUAGCCAGUCGUAAUCAUCCUCCACACUUCGUGUUGGUGCGACGUGGUGAAGCCGUCGGUGUAGAGAACGUCCUUCGCUGAAAGAGAGCGUCGGAUGGAUCCCAGUCGCCCCCGGACUGUUGUAUAUGGGAUGCCUGACGGGUCCUCCUUCUGUCGUCGUUUCGGCGGCGGCAGAGGGCGAAGGAUUCUCGGCGUCUUGCAGUGUUAUAAUUGUCAGUGGUCUACCCGACCCGUCUUGAAACACGGACCAAGGAGUCUAGCAUGUGUGCAAGUCAUUGGGAUUUCACUAAACCCACAGGCGCAAUGAGAGUUAUAUGGGCUGAUCCCUUGGACGGUUGCCGCCAGCGGGUCGGUAGGUUUACGACUGCUUACAUUCUCGUCGAGUCUUCGGAUUCCGCUUUUGUACUCGGGUCGCAUCCUGUGUUGGUGGGCAAAUGAGUUAUUUUCUUCGUCACACCGACGACCGUCGCCGCUGACCGGGACCGUCUGGACUCCGUAGAGGAGGGGGCGCAAGCCCGGGACUCUUGCCGUGAAGGCUUAAACGGUGCAGUUCUAGCCGCUGCUCUCGUUACACUUCCGAUCGCUACUGUCUGGGUGGCCUGAAUUCAGGUGGCUCGUCAGUGGAUCGAUGGGUUGUGGGCUUGAGUGGAUCGCGGGUGCUGUAUUAUCUGUGGUAGCUGGCAAGAGUCCUAUGAGCACACAUGCUAGGACCCGAAAGAUGGUGAACUAUGCCCGGCCAGGAUGAAGCCAGAGGAAACUCUGGUGGAGGUCCGAAGCGGUUCUGACGUGCAAAUCGAUCGCCAGAGCUGGGCAUAGGGGCGAAAGACCAAUCGAACCAUCUAGUUGCUGGUUCCCCCCGAAGUUUCCCUCAGGAUAGCUGGUAUUCCUAAUGAGUUUCAUCCUGUAAAGAGAAUGAUUGGAGGUCUUGGGGGCGCAAUGCCCUCAACCUACUCUCAAACUUUAAAUGGGUGAGAUGCUGUUSAGCUUGCUUAAUCGAAGCUACAGCGAUCAAUCAGAGUACCAAGUGGGCCAAUUUUGGUAAGCAGAACUGGCGAUGUGGGAUGCACCAAAAGUCCGAGUUAAGGGGCCAAAACGAAUGCUAAGUGGGAACACAAAAGGUGUCGGUUGCUAUAGACAGCAGGACGGUGGCCAUGGAAGUCGGCAUCCGCUAAGGAGUGUGUAACAACUCACCUGCCGAAGCAACCGGCCCUGAAAAUGGAUGGCACUAAAGCAUUCUCCCGAUACUCGACCGCCAGUAAACGUAAAGUGGCACUACAACGGGAUGYGAUACUACGCAAGUAGGUCCCCCGUUCGAGGCCCUGGCGGGUAGGGGGGCGUGGCGGUUAGCGAAGAAGGGUAAAGCGUGAGCUUGCCUGGAGCAGCCGCUAGUGCAGAUCUUGGUGGAAGUAGCAAAACGUCUGGUGGGCUGCACAAAUGAUCCCAGAGGACCACAGUGGAGGAAGGGUUCCAUGUCAACAUCAAUUGGACAUGGGUUAGUCGGUCCUAAACCCAAACCUAACCGGUUUAUAUUACAUGAUGGCGUGUGUGGACGCAGGCUCAUGAUGGGCAAUUGUUUUUCGUGCGGUGACGUCCGUUUCCAUCUAUACAUGGACUGAUGCACCUUUGCCCCGACCUCCUCC